GACGAACGCUGGCGGCGUGCCUAAUACAUGCAAGUUGAGCGCUGAAGGUUGGUACUUGUACCGACUGGAUGAGCAGCGAACGGGUGAGUAACGCGUGGGGAAUCUGCCUUUGAGCGGGGGACAACAUUUGGAAACGAAUGCUAAUACCGCAUAAAAACUUUAAACACAAGUUUUAAGUUUGAAAGAUGCAAUUGCAUCACUCAAAGAUGAUCCCGCGUUGUAUUAGCUAGUUGGUGAGGUAAAGGCUCACCAAGGCGAUGAUACAUAGCCGACCUGAGAGGGUGAUCGGCCACAUUGGGACUGAGACACGGCCCAAACUCCUACGGGAGGCAGCAGUAGGGAAUCUUCGGCAAUGGACGAAAGUCUGACCGAGCAACGCCGCGUGNAGUGAAGAAGGUUUUCGGAUCGUAAAACUCUGUUGGUAGAGAAGAACGUUGGUGAGAGUGGAAAGCUCAUCAAGUGACGGUAACUACCCAGAAANGGGACGGCUAACUACGUGCCAGCAGCCGCGGUAAUACGUAGGUCCCGAGCGUUGUCCGGAUUUAUUGGGCGUAAAGCGAGCGCAGGUGGUUUAUUAAGUCUGGUGUAAAAGGCAGUGGCUCAACCAUUGUAUGCAUUGGAAACUGGUAGACUUGAGUGCAGGAGAGGAGAGUGGAAUUCCAUGUGUAGCGGUGAAAUGCGUAGAUAUAUGGAGGAACACCGGUGGCGAAAGCGGCUCUCUGGCCUGUAACUGACACUGAGGCUCGAAAGCGUGGGGAGCAAACAGGAUUAGAUACCCUGGUAGUCCACGCCGUAAACGAUGAGUGCUAGAUGUAGGGAGCUAUAAGUUCUCUGUAUCGCAGCUAACGCAAUAAGCACUCCGCCUGGGGAGUACGACCGCAAGGUUGAAACUCAAAGGAAUUGACGGGGGCCCGCACAAGCGGUGGAGCAUGUGGUUUAAUUCGAAGCAACGCGAAGAACCUUACCAGGUCUUGACAUACUCGUGCUAUUCCUAGAGAUAGGAAGUUCCUUCGGGACACGGGAUACAGGUGGUGCAUGGUUGUCGUCAGCUCGUGUCGUGAGAUGUUGGGUUAAGUCCCGCAACGAGCGCAACCCNUAUUGUUAGUUGCCAUCAUUAAGUUGGGCACUCUAACGAGACUGCCGGUGAUAAACCGGAGGAAGGUGGGGAUGACGUCAAAUCAUCAUGCCCCCUAUGACCUGGGCUACACACGUGCUACAAUGGAUGGUACAACGAGUCGCGAGACAGUGAUGUUUAGCUAAUCUCUUAAAACCAUUCUCAGUUCGGAUUGUAGGCUGCAACUCGCCUACAUGAAGUCGGAAUCGCUAGUAAUCGCGGAUCAGCACGCCGCGGUGAGUACGUUCCCGGGCCUUGUACACACCGCCCGUCACACCACGGGAGUUGGGAGUACCCGAAGUAGGUUGCCUAACCGCAAGGAGGGCGCUUCCUAAGGUAAGACCGAUGACUGGGGUGAAGUCGUAACAAGGUAGCCGUAUCGGAAGG
rnacentral:rRNA from 1 species